rnacentral:rRNA from 1 species
UACGUAGGGGGCAAGCGUUGUCCGGAAUCAUUGGGCGUAAAGCGCGCGUAGGCGGCUAGAUCAGUCUGCUGUAAAAGUCAAAGGCUCAACCUUUGAAAGCCGGUGGAUACUGUCUAGCUAGAGUCCGGAAGAGGCGAGUGGAAUUCCUGGUGUAGCGGUGGAAUGCGUAGAUAUCAGGAGGAACACCAACGGCGAAGGCAGCUCGCUGGGACGGUACUGACGCUAAGGCGCGAAAGCGUGGGGAGCGAACAGG